rnacentral:rRNA from 1 species
UACGUAGGGCGCAAGCGUUGUCCGGAAUUAUUGGGCGUAAAGAGCUCGUAGGCGGUCUGUUACGUCCGCUGUGAAAACCCAGGGCUUAACCCUGGGCUUGCAGUGGAUACGGGUAGACUAGAGGCAGGUAGGGGAGAAUGGAAUUCCCGGUGUAGCGGUGAAAUGCGCAGAUAUCGGGAGGAACACCAGUGGCGAAGGCGGCUCACUGGACCGGUACUGACGCUGAGGCGCGAAAGCGUGGGGAGCAAACAGG